rnacentral:sRNA from 10 species
UUGCGUUAAGGAUGGAAGUGGAAAUCCUUUUUAGGCGCCAUUUUUAGGCGUCUAAAAAGAUUGAGAGCGUACAGCCUGACCUUGU